GGACAGCUACUGGUGGUAUCUUGACCUGCGUCAUUAUGGUUCAGGUCAGAAAUGUACUCAUUGAAGCUAAUGAUUCUCGCAGAUUGUUGGUGAGAUUGGCAUAUGUUGAAAUCAAUUGCGUAAAUUCUAGUUUCUUCUAAGUUCGUUGUCAUAUCUACUAAGCAAGAAUGACUAGUAGAAAACAAUGUUUCUACUCAAUACAUUUUCUCUGACCCACUGUGGUGAGGGGCUCCCACAAAUGACAAUCAUGCCAGCAAUUAUUUUCUUGAAGGUUCAUUUGGGUGGAGGGGUCUUCUGCAUGAAUGAUUCCUCAAGGUGCAAAUCAAGGUAGAUGUGAGGAACUCUAGAGUGAUUCUUAAGAAAAUGAACCUGAGAGGGAGAGGGGCGCCAAAAAUGUAUGUUCUUAAUGAAGUCAUCAUAUUAAGACUAUGCAAAGGCAUUUGCAUGUGCUUAGAUUAAAUU
rnacentral:misc_RNA from 1 species